rnacentral:rRNA from 1 species
UGGGGAAUAUUGCACAAUGGGCGAAAGCCUGAUGCAGCAACGCCGCGUGAGUGAUGAAGGUCUUCGGAUUGUAAAGCUCUGUCUUUUGGGACGAUAAUGACGGUACCAAAGGAGGAAGCCACGGCUAACUACGUGCCAGCAGCCGCGGUAAUACGUAGGUGGCGAGCGUUGUCCGGAUUUACUGGGCGUAAAGGGUGCGUAGGCGGAUGUUUAAGUGAGAUGUGAAAUACCCGGGCUUAACUUGGGUGCUGCAUUUCAAACUGGAUAUCUAGAGUGCAGGAGAGGAGAAUGGAAUUCCUAGUGUAGCGGUGAAAUGCGUAGAGAUUAGGAAGAACACCAGUGGCGAAGGCGAUUCUCUGGACUGUAGCUGACGCUGAGGCACGAAAGCGUGGGUAGCAAACAGGAUUAGAUACCCUGGUAGUCCACGCCGUAAAACGAUGAGUACUAGGUGUAGGA